CCACUAAGAUGAACUAAGAGUGGAGGAGGGAAGUCCAGAAUUCUAAGAGAAGAGAAAAUGGAUAGUCGAGUGCCCAAGUGAUAGAAGGCCUCUGUAUAAUCUGCCAAUCAGCACAUCUUCACAGAGUUGAAGGGGGAACAUGUGACACCCACCCUUUCAACCUCCUGUCAAGGAGCCUCUGGGAGACAUUGGUUAUCACUGUGGCGCAGAUGGGAACAUGACCACACAGAGAGGUUACGUUAUUAUUGCCCGAGAUUGCACAACGGGUGCUGAAAUACAUCAGGCAGGAGGCAGGACAGUUUUCGGUGGACACAACAUCUUUAUUUUAUUUUUAUGUGGUGCUGAGGAUCGAACCCAGCGACUCUCGCAUGCAAGGCGAGCGCGUUACCGCUUGAGCCACAUCCCCAGCCCUCCAACACCUCUUGAUGGAUGAAUGGUUAUACAACAUAUGCACAUACAUACAAUGGAAUAUUAUCCAGUCUUAAAGGAGGGAAAUUUCUGACACGUAUUGAUUGAUAUUGGUUGAAGAGGGAAACAAUUCUACCAUGGAAAUACCAGCCCAUUGGGAAUGAAAUUCAGCCAACCUUAGCAUCUGGAGAGUUUGAGCAUGCAAGUAUGCUGAAAUAUAAAGAGAAGUCAUCACCUUGGGAAUAUUUGUACCAGGGCUGGGAAUGUAGUGCAGUGGUAGAGCACUUGCCUAGCAACCAUGAGGCCCCGAGGAUAGAACCCUCGAAUGAAAGAAAAGACAAGAGCAUGAGGCAAAGAAGAGGAGGGGAACUGGUCUGCACUGACUCAAACCAGCUGUGGAAUAUUAUGUAGGAUGACUGGAAAAAUUUGGAUAUGAUCUGUGGUUUCAGCCCUGGUCCAGAUGCUGAAAAUAUGGUAUGAAGAUAUCCCUGCAGAGUUUGCUCAACGGGGAAGAGACAGGCACAAGAGUGAGAGCGUGGCUUCCAAGGCAGGAGCAAAAGAACGAAGGGAAGACGGGGAGGCCCAGGAGGUGCGGCUCUGGUGCACACCAGAGGGAUAGCAUGUGAGGCGCUGGGCCCCAGGCUGUGCCAGACUUUGGAAGGAUGUCAUUUAUUCUGGUGCCCAAAUCAACAAGCAUUCAAGAGCCAAGGAGGAAAGCCAGGAGAGCUGGUGUUUGCAGAAGAUGAUUCUGGAAACAUGCGGAGAACCAGCUGGGAGUUAUUGGCGGACAUAACAUCUUUGUAUGUGGUGCUGAGGAUCGAACCCGGGCCGCACGCAUACAUGCCAGGCGAGCACGCUACCGCUUGAGCCACAUCCCCAGCCCAGUGCCUGUCUUCUUAAAAAAAAAUGUGCAGUGUUAUGACAAAAAUUGGCUGUGCAGCUGUUCCAUGUGCAGGAGAUUAAAAAGAUUAGAUGACUAACUGCCUUACUUACUUUAGGAUUUGAAGCCUAGCUGGAAAACAAAGGUUAAUAAAGGAUAUUAUCGGAACAACUGGCAAAAUACAGAAUGGACACUAUAUUACAUGAUAAUACCGUAAUCAUAUUAAUGUCUUCGCUGUGAUGAUUUUUCGGUGAUUGUGUGAGAAUGUCUUUGUUCUUAGGAGAUAUACUCAGAAUGGUUUAGCUGGGAGGGGUAUCUUUACAGUUCAGCAAAAAUAAGUCUCUGUGUAUUCUAGAUGACAGACACACAGAUGUACAUCCUUAUACAUCAUACACAUGUGUGUAAAUGUACACAUUCGUAUAUACACACAUGCACGUAUGGAAAAAGAGCCUGUGAGCAAAUGUGACCACGAUGGUAACAAUGGGUGGGCUUAGAUAAAAAGGUUAAUGAAGUUUAGAUGAAGUUCAUUGUCCUAUUGAUGAAACUUCUUUGUAAGUUGGACUUUUUUCCAAAACAUACUGUUCAAAAAAAUUCAGAAGCCCACCCUCCAGAGUCAGGAGGGACAGUGCUUCAGCUACUCUGAUCUCAGAUCAACGCCGGAGGCUCUGCUGAUCAGCUAAUGUGGACUAGGAAUUCGUUUUCACUCGUGAAGUUGGUGGUGUUUGUUCCCUGGGCACGGCUAGGUGCCGUGCUGACCCCUGGCAUGGGCAGGGCACAGGGAUGGAGUCAGGCCAGGGCACCAGGCUCAGACCUGAAGCAGCCACGUGCACAAGUUCUGCACUUCAGUUCCCAGAGCUGCUCCCAGAAUAGGGAUCGUCGCAUCUGCCCAGAGACAGCCUUUCCUGGAAGGUGCCAUUGGAGAACCCAGAAGCCAGAGAGCCAGGACUUAAUGGAGCCGACAGAAGAGGUUUCCAAGGGCUGUCCUGCCUGCUGAAGAUUUGCACAAGUGACAAAAUUCUGUCUGAGGACUGUCCUCCUCUUCUUCUACUACUACCUUCUCUUUUUCCUCCUCCCAUUAAUUCUGGUUUUAUUGAGGUGUGAUUUAAAUAUAAAAUCCACCCCUUUUAGGAUCAAGUUCAAUGAAUUCUGUAAAUGUACAGUCAUGCAACCACUAAGUUUUACAACUCUCCCAUCUCCCCUAGAAGUUCCCUGUUCCACUUGGUCACCAUCGCCAGCGUACCCUGACAGUGGCAUACCACUGACCUGCCUUCUGUCCCUAUAGCUCUGCCUUUACUAGAAUUUCGUACUGGAGUCAUUCAAUGUGGAGUCUGUUGUGUGUCUCCGUGGCUUGUUCCCUUCUACUGCUGAGCAGUUGUCCAUAGUAUAGAUAUCCCAUAAUUUUUCUCUUUUCAGACACUGAGGUUGUUUCUAGUUUGGCUCUUUUGAAUAAAGCUGCAAUUAAAUUAUAUUUAAAUAAUCUAAUAGUUCUCUUUUCCUUUUAAUAGACAUAAUGCUGGAAUUUCUCAUAAGGAAAAGGUAUUCCAAAUCCAAUUGAAAGUUUUAUAUUUAGUGUAUCAGAAUAGUGAGUUAAUUGGUGGUAAAGUUAAGAGUCUCAGCCAGUCUUACUUUUGAGUAUGAUGCUUUUUUUACACUAAUUGUGAUAAGAUAAACAUAAACUAACCCUCUCGACCAUUUUAGAGUAUCCUUUAGUAGCAUUAAGUACAUUCACUUUGAUGUGCCAUGGAUCUGCAGAAUUUUUUUUAUCUUGCAAAACUGAAACUCUAUAUCCAUUAAAUGGUGGCCCCCUCCAAUUUCUCCUUCCCCAUCAUUCUGCUUUUUGUUUAAAUGACUUUAACUAUGUGAGUUACCUCAUGUAACUGAA